rnacentral:sRNA from 21 species
UUUCGCAGCCCUCAUGGCCGUUUCCUCCCUAGACUUCUGGCCGCUGCUGAAAGCGGCCCUCUUUUUAGCUUAU